AGUCGAACGAUGACUUCUGUGCUUGCACAGAAUGAUUAGUGGCGAACGGGUGAGUAACACGUGAGUAACCUGCCCUUAACUUCGGGAUAAGCCUGGGAAACCGGGUCUAAUACCGGAUACGACCUCCUGGCGCAUGCCAUGGUGGUGGAAAGCUUUAGCGGUUUUGGAUGGACUCGCGGCCUAUCAGCUUGUUGGUUGGGGUAAUGGCCCACCAAGGCGACGACGGGUAGCCGGCCUGAGAGGGUGACCGGCCACACUGGGACUGAGACACGGCCCAGACUCCUACGGGAGGCAGCAGUGGGGAAUAUUGCACAAUGGGCGAAAGCCUGAUGCAGCGACGCCGCGUGAGGGAUGACGGCCUUCGGGUUGUAAACCUCUUUCAGCAGGGAAGAAGCGAAAGUGACGGUACCUGCAGAAGAAGCGCCGGCUAACUACGUGCCAGCAGCCGCGGUAAUACGUAGGGCGCAAGCGUUAUCCGGAAUUAUUGGGCGUAAAGAGCUCGUAGGCGGUUUGUCGCGUCUGCUGUGAAAGCCCGGGGCUCAACCCCGGGUCUGCAGUGGGUACGGGCAGACUAGAGUGCAGUAGGGGAGACUGGAAUUCCUGGUGUAGCGGUGAAAUGCGCAGAUAUCAGGAGGAACACCGAUGGCGAAGGCAGGUCUCUGGGCUGUAACUGACGCUGAGGAGCGAAAGCGUGGGGAGCCAAACAGAGA
rnacentral:rRNA from 1 species